UUAUAGCCAUUAUAGUCCAGCCAGUCGAUCAGCGGGCGGAUCGACGAAUAUUCCUGGUCCUCGAUGAGUGCGGUGUAGUAGUAGGCCCUGAGCAGGUAGCCGCGCUUCUGGAAGGCCUUGAGCAGCUUGCGGUAAUCGAUGUCGAAGCCGAGGCUCUUCGACGCGGCGUAGAGGUU
rnacentral:sRNA from 1 species